rnacentral:tRNA from 1 species
GGCCUGAUGGUUUAGGGGUAUGAUUCUCGCUUUGGGUGCGAGAGGUCCCGGGUUCAAAUCCCGGUCAGGCCA